UCUUCCGGGAUAGGUAGUAGUUAAGGUGAUGGCUUAACUAGCCAAAAACUCUCGUAGUCGAAGCUGAAAGGUUGAUCGACCACAUUGGGUCUGAAAAAACCCCAAUGCAAGUUAGUACAGCAGUGAGGAAUCUUGGUCAAUGGCCUAACGGCUGAACUGGCAACUUGGAGAAGUGGCAAGUCUUAUUUUGAUUAUAUUACUAUAUAUAAUCUAUAAGAUUGUAUUAAAAUUGAAUAAAGCUUUGUUUAUAUAUUGAUAAUGACAGUAUAUAUAUCGUGUCUUGACUAAUUACGUGCCAGCAGUCGCGGUAAUACGUAAGAGACUAGUGUUAUUCAUCUUGAUUAGGUUUAAAGGGUACCUAGACGGUCAAUAUAUCUUCUAAAAUGUUAGUACUUGACUAGAGUUUGAUAUAAGAGGGCAGUACUUGAGGAGGAGAGAUGAAAUUCUAUUAUACCAAAGGGACUCGGUAAAGGCGAAGGCAGCCCUCUAUGUAAAAACUGACGUUGAAGGACGAAGGCACAGAGCACAAACAGGAUUAGAUACCCAAGUAGUCUUUGCAGUAAAUGAUGAAUGCCAUAGGUUAGAUUAA
rnacentral:rRNA from 1 species